UGGGGAAUUUUGGACAAUGGGCGCAAGCCUGAUCCAGCCAUACCGCGUGAGUGAAGAAGGCCUUCGGGUUGUAAAGCUCUUUCAGACGGAAAGAAACGGUUACGGCUAAUACCCGUGACUAAUGACGGUACCGUAAGAAGAAGCACCGGCUAACUACGUGCCAGCAGCCGCGGUAAUACGUAGGGUGCGAGCGUUAAUCGGAAUUACUGGGCGUAAAGCGUGCGCAGGCGGUUUGGUAAGACAGAUGUGAAAUCCCCGGGCUUAACCUGGGAACUGCAUUUGUGACUGCCAGACUAGAGUGUAGCAGAGGGGGGUAGAAUUCCACGUGUAGCAGUGAAAUGCGUAGAUAUGCGGAGGAACACCGAUGGCGAAGGCAAUCCCCUGGACCUGUACUGACGCUCAUGCACGAAAGCGUGGGGAGCAAACAGGAUUAGAUACCCUCGUAGUCCCUGAGCGGGCUGGCAAGGCGCAU
rnacentral:rRNA from 1 species